GAACGUGCGAAACGUAAUGUGAAUUGCAGAAUUCAGUGAAUCAUCGAAUCUUUGAACGCAUCUUGCGCUCCUUGGUAUUCCGAGGAGCAUGCCUGUUUGAGUGUCGUGAAUAACCCUCAAUUUCAAUCUUUUUGUUUGAAAUUGGAUUUGGGUGUUUGUUGUGGGUUUCACAACUCGUCCUAAAUGCAUUAGCGAUCUGCCUUGAUCACACACAAUGUGAUAAGAAAAAGCAUUGUUAUAAUCGAGCCAUGACUGCUUCUAAUCGUCGAAAGACAAACGUCAUCAUGUCAUUUGACCUCAAAUCAGGUAGGACUACCCGCUGAACUUAA
rnacentral:misc_RNA from 1 species